rnacentral:rRNA from 1 species
CCUACGGGGGGCAGCAGUGAGGAAUAUUGGUCAAUGGGCGCUAGCCUGAACCAGCCAAGUAGCGUGAAGGAUGACUGCCCUAGGGGUUGUAAACUUCUUUUAUAUGGGAAUAAAGUGCAGUAUGUAUACUGCUUUGCAUGUACCUUAUGAAUAAGGAUCGGCUAACUCCGUGCCAGCAGCCGCGGUAAUACGGAGGAUCCGAGCGUUAGCCGGAUUUAUUGGGUUUAAAGGGGGCGUAGGCGGGUUGUUAAGUCAGUUGUGAAAGUUUGCGGCUAAACCGUAAAAUUGCAGUUGAUACUGGCAGCCUUGAGUACAGUAGAGGUAGGCGGAAUUCGUGGUGUAGCGGUGAAAUGCUUAGAUAUCACGAAGAACUCCGAUUGCGAAGGCAGCCUGCUGGACUGUAACUGACGCUGAUGCUCGAAAGUGUGGGUAUCAAACAGGAUUAGAUACCCGAGUAGUC